rnacentral:rRNA from 1 species
UACGGGGGGAGCAAGCGUUGUUCGGAUUUACUGGGCGUAAAGGGCGCGUAGGCGGCCACCGCAAGUCGACUGUGAAAUCUCCGGGCUUAACCCGGAAAGGUCAGCCGAUACUGCGGGGCUAGAGUGCAGAAGGGGCAACUGGAAUUCUCGGUGUAGCGGUGAAAUGCGUAGAUAUCUGGAGGAACACCGGUGGCGAAGGCGGCGUCCUGGACCAACACUGACACUGAGGAGCGAAAGCCAGGGGAGCAAGCGGG